rnacentral:rRNA from 1 species
CCCGCAACGAUUGCAACCCUAGUCAUUAGUUGCUACGAAAGGGCACUCUAAUGAGACUGCCUGUGACAAACCGGAGGAAGGUGGGGUCGACGUCAAGUCCUCAUGGUCCUUAUGGGUAGGGCUUCACACGUCAUACAAUGGUCGGUACGAGGGCUGCCAACCCGCGAGGGGGAGCUAAUCCCAGAAAACGGGUCGUAGUCCGGAUUGUAGUCUGCAACUCGACUGCGUGAAGUCGGAAUCGCUAGUAAUCGCUGAUCAGCUUGUCGCGGUGAAUACGUU